UAGGGAGACCUACCCAUUGAAGAAUCGAAAGCCGCAGGCGAAUAGAGAAUCAACUGGUCUACUCUAGGUCGGUGACGUGAGAUUGUGAAGUCUUUCAAACUAAUAUUUGGUUCGCGAGAGGGCUAUUAGCUCAGGUGGUUAGAGCGCACCCCUGAUAAGGGUGAGGUCCCUGGUUCGAGUCCAGGAUGGCCCACCUGAAUGGGGGUUUAGCUCAGCUGGUAGAGCGCCUGCUUUGCAAGCAGGAUGUCAGUGGUUCGAGUCCGCUAACCUCCACAUUAGGAAGAAACUAGCAACUAGGAAAGACCUAGACUGCUGGUGAGAACCAGCCAGAACCUUGAAAACUGCAUAUAGAUAGAUAAGAGAGCCGAAAUUGAAAGAUAGAAGCAAGUGAGAAACCAAGU
rnacentral:tRNA from 1 species